UACGUAGGUGGCAAGCGUUGUCCGGAUUUAUUGGGUUUAAAGGGUGCGUAGGCGGCCUAUUAAGUCAGUUCUGAAAUAUCCCGGCUUAACCGGGAGGGUGGGAUUGAUACUGAUGGGCUUGAGUGGAAUCGAGGUAGGCGGAAUUGACGGUGUAGCGGUGAAAUGCGCAGAUAUCAGGAGGAACACCGGUGGCGAAGGCGGGUCUCUGGGCAGUAACUGACGCUGAGGAGCGAAAGCGUGGGGAGCGAACAGG
rnacentral:rRNA from 1 species